GAGCGCGCAGCCAGCGCCGCCGCCGGACUCGGGCGGGUGUGCGAGCCUGGCGCGCAGCUUGCCGGGGAUGCGAGAGGCUGGGAGCCGCCGCGCCGGGAGAACGCGAGCACUGGUGACCUCGGCCCGGGGAGAGCCGGGGACGGCGGCGAACCCCGCAGGGAUCCUCGGGGCCGGGGUGCGGGGCCGGCGGCGGCGCGGGAGCGCGGGGCGCAGACCGGGCGGGGCUGGCAGACAGUGAUGAGCGGGCACGCGGGGAGGCUGCACGCCGUCGCCGCCGCCGCCCGGAGCAUCCGCCGCCCGAGCUGCUGCUCCCGGCCCAGGCCCCGGCCAUGGAGACGCUGAACGGCCCCGCGGGCGGCGGCGCCCAGGACCCGAAGCCGCAGCCGCCCGGCCAGCACCACCGCCAGCACCACCACCUCCACCCGCUGGCGGAACGGAGACGGCUGCACCGCGCGCCCUCGCCAGCCAGACCGUUUCUCAAGGACCUGCACGGCCGGCCUGCGGCCCCCGGCCAGGCCGCCCCCUCCUCGGGCCGAGCCCCGGCGCCCGCCGCCCCGCGCUCUCCCAGCCUCGCGGGCAAGGCGCCGCCCUCGCCGGGGCCCCCGGCCGCGCCCGGCCGCCUUUCCCGGCGGAGCGGCGGCGCUCCCGGCGCGAAGGACAAGCCGCCGCCGGGCGCCGGGGCCAGGGCAGCGGGCGGCGCUAAGGCCGCUCCGGGCCCCAGGAGGGUGGCACGCGCGGCGCCCGCCGAGCCGCUGCCCCGGGUAGGGAAGCCACCGCCCGGGGCCGAGCCGCCGCCCGCCGCUGCCAAGGGCCGCAGAGCCAAACGCGCCUCCGGAGCUGUCCCCGCCCGCGCCGCCGGGCCCCGGGUCCCCGCCGUCGCGGUCCCGGCCGUGAUCCUCGCCGUGACUUCCGCGGCCGGCUCCCCGGCCCCCGGCUCGCGCAUCAGCCACACAGACAGCAGCUCCGAUCUCUCCGACUGCCCCUCCGACCCUCUUUCCGACGAGCAGCGCCUGCUCCCCGCCGCCAGUAGUGACGCCGAGUCCGGCACGGGCUCCAGCGAUCGGGAACCUCUGCGAGGAGCCCCCACGACCAGCCCCCCAGCUCGGGGGGCGCCGCCAGACAGCCCCGAGCCCCCGGGACUCCUCGCCGCGACCCCCGCCGCCUGCCUUGGGGGUCGGAACAGCCCCAGCGGGGUCCCCGCGGCGUCCCCGGGGCCGGGCGUGGUGGAGGAUGUCGCGGGGCGCGCACCGCCGGAGCGAACGGGUCCCGCGACCCCCAGGGAGCACGGGCCGAGCGAGCAGCACCGGUUGGUCCCGGCGGCGGAGGAGGAGGAGCUGCUGCGGGAGAUGGAGGAGCUGCGCUCGGAGAACGACUAUCUCAAGGAUGAGUUGGAUGAACUCCGAGCGGAAAUGGAAGAGAUGAGAGACAGUUACUUGGAGGAGGAGGUUUACCAGCUGCAGGAGCUGAGGCGGGAGCUGGACCGCGCCAACAAGAACUGCCGAAUCCUGCAGUACCGCCUCCGGAAGGCCGAGCAGAAGAGGCUGAAGGUGGCGGAGACCGGGCAGGUGGACGGGGAGCUUAUCCGGAGUCUGGAGCAGGACCUGAAGGUGGCCAAAGACGUAUCGGUCCGAUUGCACCAUGAACUUGAAACCGUGGAGGAAAAGAGAGCUAAAGCGGAAGACGAGAAUGAAACUCUCCGACAGCAGAUGAUCGAAGUGGAGAUAUCAAAGCAGGCCCUGCAGAACGAGCUGGAGAGACUGAAGGAGAGUUCCUUGAAGAGAAGAGGCAGCCGGGAAGCGUACAAAGAGAAGAAAGCCUUCACCCAGAACGGAGGAGCCGAGCACCUUGGGAACUGCAGGUCUACAGCCAAAGCUCAGAGGAAACUGCCGCCCCGGCGCAAGGAUGACAGCGCGGAUCUGAGGUGCCAGCUCCAGUUUGCCAAAGAGGAGGGCUCGCUGAUGCUCAGGAAGAUGGCCAAGCUGGGGCGCGAGAAGGACCGGCUGGAGCAGGAGCUGCAGAGGUACAGGGCCCUCUACGGGGACGCUGACAGCCCCCUGCCCACGGGCGAGGCCGGCGGGCCACCCAGCACUCGGGAGGCCGAGCUGAAGCUGCGGCUGAGGCUGGUGGAGGAGGAGGCCAGCAUCUUGGGCCGGAAGAUCGUGGAGCUGGAGGUGGAGAAUCGGGGCCUCAAGGCUGAGAUGGAAGACCUGCGCGGCCGGGAACCCCUGCCCGGUGGGCCGACCUCGCCCUUCGGGGGUGACUCCCUGGAGUCCUCGGCUGAGCUGCGCCGGCACCUGCAGUUCGUGGAGGAGGAGGCGGAGCUGCUGCGGAGGUCCAUCUCCGAGAUCGAGGACCACAACCGGCAGCUGACCCACGAGCUGAGCAAGUUCAAGUUCGAGCCGCGGCCCGAGCCGGGCUGGCUGGCAGGGGGCGGGGCGCCCCUGCAGGACGAGCUCCAGGUGGUGCGGCUGCCGAUAAGCGAGCUGAGCGGGGAGGUGCUGACUCUGCAGCCGGGCCCGCGCGCCCCGAGCCCGCGGGACAGCGAUGCUGACAGCGACACGGGUCGGAGGAGCGACGACGGUGAGGACGGACGCCUGCAGCCUCGCCGGGAGGGCCCCAUUGGCGGUGAGAGUGACUCGGAGGAGACCUUCGAGAAGACGUCUGGCUUCGGAAGCGGGAGGCCGUCGGAGGCCGGCGAGUGCCCGGCGGAGCUGCUGCGCGCGCAGGAGGACUCGGAGCGCCUGGCGAGCAUCAGGCACGAGGCGGAGCGGCUGGAGCGCACGGUGGAGCGCAUCAUCACGGACACCGAGGCCGCUCUCCCGGGCGGAGAGGCCUCGCCCGGGGCCUGCGGCCAGGGCACCAGGGAGGAGCCCCAGCUGCUGGGGACCCUCAACGCCAGGAUGAAGGCCUUCAGGAAAGAGCUCCAGGCCUUCCUGGAGCAGGUGGAGCGACUGGGGGAGGGCCUGUCCCCGCUGCCCCAGCUCACCGAGUCAUCCAGCUUCCUGUCCUCUGUGACCUCCGUAUCCCGGGACUCCCCGGUGGGGAACCUGGGCAAGGAGCUGGGCCCGGACCUGCAGUCCAAACUGAGAGAUCAGAUGGAGUGGCAGCCGGGGCAGGAGCGAGGGGAGGAGCGGGGUCACCUCCAUCUCCGCACCGCACGGGAGCUGCACCGCCGAGCCGACGGGGAUGCCGGGAGCUGCCGGCCUGGAGCCCAGAGCUGCUUCAGCCUCGAGGUGGAGGAGGAACGCCGCUGCGCCCUGCGCAGGCGCGACCGGGAGGCAAACGGCCUGGCCCUGCAGAGCUCGCUGCACGAGCGCGCCUGGGACGACGAGAGGCACCUGAUGCAGCAGGAGCUGCGCUCCCUGAAGCAGAACAUCUUCCUCUUCUACGUCAAGCUCAGGUGGCUGCUCAAGCACUGGCGCCAAGGGAGGCAGGCGGAGGACGACGCGGAGGACUUCAUGGAGAGCGAGCUUCCAGAGACCUUCCCCAGGCUCGGGGAGCUUGGCGUCCAGGGGGACACAAAGGUGGACAGUCCAGACGGAGACGACGAUGGGCCAAGCUGUGGCUUUUCCCUGGGAGAGCGCUCUCCGCAGAUGGGUGACCACGGGUCGCGGCUGCAGCCCACCGAUGGGGGGCAGCUCUACAGGCAGGUGUCAGAGACCCAGCCGCUGUUCUGCGCGCUCAAGGCACUGCUUGAGGAGCUGCGCGCAGAGCUGCGGGAGGACGCGCGUGCACGCCAGCGGCUGCAGCAGCAAUACGCGGGUGACAAGGCCGCCUGGGAUGUGGAGUGGGCCGCGCUCACAUGCCGCCUGGAGCAGCUGGAAGCAAAGAAUGAAAAGAGCUUGGGAGACCCAGGCUCCUGCACCGACAGCAAAGGGGCAUUCAGGAAGGAGAGGGAGGUGCAGCAGAAGCUGCUGGCGGAUAGUCACAGGCUGGUCAUGGACCUGCGCUGGCAGAUCCACCACAGCGAGAAGAACUGGAACCGGGAGAAGGUGGAGCUUCUCGACCGCCUGGACCGGGAGCGCCAGGAGUGGGGGCGGCAGGAGAAGGAGAUGCUGUGGAGAAUUGAACAGUUACAGAAAGAAAACAGUCCCCAGAGAGGUGGCAGUUUCCUCUGUGAUCAAGAGGAGGGGGACACCCGCCCCUGUACCCACCCAGGGAGCCCUCGGGCACCCCGCCCUGCGGGGAUGUGGCCGUGUAUGGACACAGACUCCAGUGCGUUUGAGGACCGGCCGCUGUCAAAGCUGAAGGAAUCGGACAGGUGCUCAGCGCGGGAGAAUCUCUACCUGGACACCUUGUCCCUGGACGAUGAGCCAGAGGAGCCCCCGGCCCGUGGGCCCCAGAGGGAGUUCAGGAACUGCUUCCGUGAGGAAGAAGAAAAUCACAAGGGAAAUCUUCAAAGGGCCGUGUCUGUGUCGUCCAUGUCUGAGUUCCAGCGCUUGAUGGAUGGCUCUCCCUUCUUGCCGGAGAAGGGCCUGCCCCCCACAUGCAGCAAGGAGGACGUCACCCCACCCCUGUCCCCUGAUGACCUCAAGUACAUCGAGGAGUUCAACAGCAAGAGCUGGGAUGACAGGCCUCCAGACCCCUGGGCGGACAGGACCGAGGUGGGGCGGACGCGGCCCGAGGCCAGCACUGAACCUUUCUCUGACGCCGCCUGGUACCUCACCACAAGCAUCACCCUGACCACGGACACCGUGACCAACCCCGAGCACUGCCAGAAGCAGCCCCCGCGGAACCUCGUCUGUGCUGAGCAGGCUGGGGGGAGGGGGCUGCGCAGCCCACCCGCAAUCCGGAGGCUGGAGGGCAUCGUGGCAGGGGUCGGCGAGAGCAGGGUCCGAGGGGGCCCCGGGGAUGCCAAGCGGAGCCCUUCUGAACAUGUGCUCAGCAGGUGGCCCUGUGCCCCCUCCAGGCACCCCCGAGACUACACGGAGGUGGGGCUCCGGCCCCUCGAUAGCACCCUCAGCUUCUCCUCCCCAUUGCACAGCCUGGAAAUGCCCAGAAACCUGAGUGACGAUAUGAAGGAGGUAGCCUUCUCAGUCAGGAGCGCCGUCUGCUCCAGCCCCGUUGAGCCUCUGGUCAAGGACAUGGCCUGCCAGACCAAUGGGUCCCGGACAACAGGAACACAGACGGUCCAGACCAUCAGUGUUGGCCUACAGACGGAAGCCCUGCGGGGCAGCCCACACAAGUGUCUCACGCCCAAGGCGGGAGGUGGCGCCACACCCGCGUCCUCUCCCUCCCGUGGCCUCAGGAACAGGCAGGUGGCCCCCGCCAUUGAGAAGGUGCAAGCUAAGUUUGAACGCACAUGCUGCUCCCCCAAGUACGGGUCUCCCAAGCUGCAGCGGAAGCCCCUUCCCAGAGUGGACCAGUCAAGUAGCAGGGCCUCCCCGGGGGUGGCCCAGAAGGGGUGUGGCGAGUCGGCCUGGGCCCGCUCCACCACCACACGCGAGAGCCCCGUGCACACCGCCAUGAACGACGGCCUCUCCAGCCUCUUCAGCAUCAUCGACCACAGCCCGGUGGUGCAGGACCCCUUCCAGAAGGGGGUGCGGACUGCGAGUCGGUCUCGCUCGGCCGAGCCCCGGCCGGAGAUGGGUCCAGGCCAGGACACCAGCCCCAGCUCCCGGGGCCGCUCACCCAGCCCCAUUGGGGGUGGCUCAGAGACAUGCAGGGAGGAGGGGGGAGAGGGCACGCCCCUGAGGCAGGACUUAUCUGCUCCCCCUGGCUACACACUCACUGAGAACGUGGCCCGGAUCCUCCACAGAAAGCUGUUGGAACAUGCCUUAAAGGAGGAGCGGAGGCAGGCUGCCCACAGCCCCACAAAUAGCAGCAGCGACAACCACAUGGGAGAAACGGCGGUCAAGGCCGAAACAGGGUCCAUCGAGGUAAUGGAGGUUGAGUCUUCCCCCGACCAUGCCCCCACCACUGGUCUUUCUCAAAGUGGGCAAGGGGGACCCUGGGGCUGUGUACCGGAUCACCUGAGUUCAGGAGGGUGUUGGGAGGACAGAAUAGGCAGGAACACAAGCCCCAAGCUGCUGCUUAGAAGAGAAACUCAUCUUACCACCUUCAGUGAUCCUCUGAAGACAAGGAGAUGGUGGUCUUUAAGUAGCUCUGGGACUGACUCAGGUCCUAUGCUCUGGCUCAGUGAUCCAUGGUUGUCUAUUCAGUGCUGACUUAAGUGCAGAGAGCACACUUAUGUCUCAAAGAUCCCCUUACCCUCUCUGUGCGCAAGAGUUCUCUGAGCAGUAAAACCAGGUGAGACGAAUGGAUCAAGUCAACAGCAUGCCUUCAUACAACUAGAUUACUGUCAUCAUCCCCCUUACACUUCACCUAUUGUUAUCAUGCUACCUAUGACCACACAUUAAAUAUUAUCACACAUUACUAUUACAUUAUCAUUAUUAUAUGCCCCUUAAAGUUAUUCACAAUUCCACAUGUGGUAUAAUUGGACCACACCACUUAAAAAUCAAUUCCUGUUUCUGCGGCAGGAAUGAGCAAAAUAAACAAAGUCAGAUGAUAAUGCCAGGCAUGAAGAUAGUGGGGCUGGAGGACAGUUCCAGCUCUUGGUCAGACCCUUGUGUGUAGACCUGGGGGAGGCCUGACCCACUAGGAAGCCAGAUGCAAAACCUCCCCAACGGUGGAGUCCAGACACCUGGGGGCACUCUCCAGGCCAGGCAGUCAGCCAAUGGCAAAGGUGAGACACGGAGACACCCUCUGGCUCCCUAGCUGCUCCCUCCCAAGGCCCUGCAGCUCCAGCUGCACAGGUGAGGAGAGGAAAGCUCAAGAGGGGAAGAGGUGUAUUUCUCUGUGUCACCUGAGGCCCCUGCCAUCCACACAUCCCACAGAGGGAUAAGUAAUGUGCGGCUUCCCGGUGUAAUUCAAAAUACAAAGUUAAAUCUGAAGUAGAUAAAACCAUGAGAAAUUGCCAGUGACCUUCAAAAACGGGAAUGCUAUGUGGUUCAACCUAAUAUUGAUCGUCUGUGGCCUACGCCUGUCAAAGGUACGUGUCUUUGUGGGAAAGCUGUUUGUGUGCUGAGGAGGAGGCUGCCUGUUCUCAGGUGACAGAUGGUGCCUUCUGUCACCCCACCCACCCCUCCGGGGGGGGCGGGUGGCAGUUAAACCACCCUCAGGUAAGUGGUUUGCUGCUGCAGGGGAUCUAGCAGGGAGAGUGCCCAUCUCCUGGGACUGAGAUCUUGGUCCCAGAGCAUUACUCGGCUUGGCUGCAGUGUUCAUUUGUAUUAGAGACAAAAUAGGUUUCAUUUUGGAGGCUAAAAAUGCUGAGUCACAAAUGAAUGUGAGACUAUAAAGGAAAUGGCUCAAUAAUGGGAUCAUACCACUCAGACACAAAGAUGGCUUUACCUGCACAAAGCCAUGCCCCACUCUUUGGUCCUCCAUAAAGUCUCUUUGCUACCAGAAAAGGUGACGGCUGAUUUAAAGGGGGCCCAGGGCCAGUGUCAGGGGUUCAGACUGGCAUGGAGCUCCCUGGGCAGUAUUGAGAUAUCAUGGUUUAUCUUCCUUUCACUGUGGAAAAUAGCUUGUUCUAUAUUUCAGGGGAUGAUUCCUCACCUGAGCUGUCUUACUAAAUGAGUCUCUCUCUAGAUGGUGGACAGUUCUGGGUUUUCAUUCCAAACUCCGCAGAACAAGUUCUGUUCCACCCUGCCCUCUGAGCCCAUGGGGCAUCUUCCCUGAGUGCUCAUGGCGACCCCAAGACACGGUGUUGGAGGACCCCUGGCCAGGCACGGGCACCGCAGUAAAGUCCCCCUCUCUCACGCUCACCCCACAAGCUACUUGCUCCUUUGUUUCUCUUGGAGUCAUAGCACGAUGCAGAGAGAGGCUAUGAACAGGAGGGCUAAGGUAGAGAGAGAGGAGAAUCUGGACAUGUCUCCGUUGAAAAUCUGAAGGGAAAGUUUUAGUCUGGGCCUCAGUCAUUUGGUCAUUGUGACUAAGACAGUCCCGCUGUUUAAUGGGCUCUGUUUCAAAACCUGCAGUUGUGGGGCACUGGAAACACUCGGUGCCAUGGGGCAGCUCAGGAAGAACAGGAGGACAGGCAGCGCAAGGGAGAGGCUGCUGUCGUGAGGCCCCUCCUGCGUGGCUGGGCACAGACCGGCCUACGCACCCACUUCUGCUAAGCCUCACUUCUCAGGAUGGCUAUCCCUGGAGCUGCCACCUGGGCCUGUUGACUUUAAACCUUUACUGUUGUUCUUCUUGUAAAGUACUUUCCAACCUACUUGCUUUUCUUUUCUUUUGUCUGUCUCUUCUGUCCAGAACCAAACUGUCUUACUAACUGCCCCCUGGGGACUCUAGCCUGCCUCACUCCGAACUACCUUGUUCUGCACUUGCUCCAUCCCUAGAGCCUUGCUUCUCCAGGCCCGAGAGACCAGCAAACCGUCGCCCUCCGUCCCGCUGGGCCCCACACCCCGCCACUGCCUCACCAGCUCCAUCACCCGGAGAACCC